UCCAAUACAUAGUAUAAAGUAUCCUGUCAUAAAGAGUUAUUCUUCCUAACAUCAAUUAUCAUUAAAAAAUUAUUUUCAACUUGUUCAUUAUCAUAAUUUCACGUAAAACAACAUCAAGCAUUGUCGUGACGUAGAUUAGAAACACCGUGUGAAGCAGACAACUUUCACUUUUCCAUCAAAUUUCGCCGGGAACGAUACAAUGCAGGUAAGUAAAAUUGUUACAGAUGUUUGGUAGAAAUACUCAUCUAAAACCUAUAAAAACAUCAUCUUGUUGGGAAAUCAGAUUAUAAUUAUAUUAGAUAUAAAGUUGCAGGUCGCUAGGUUUCCUAUAUCGAAUCACUGCUUCUGACGGUAGUGAUAUAUUUUGAGUGAAAGGGAUCUUGUCAAAAUUUAUUUUUCAAAUUCGAUUUCCGUAUAUUUAGUUGAAAUAAAAAAGAAACACAAGUGAAAACAUGCUAUCUCAAUCAUUUGCAUCAAUUCUCUUUCAACAUUACAUAAUUAUUUGGAUUUUCAGAUAUGCCCCCAAAAAAACUGAAAACUAAAACUGGUGGAAAUACACCUACUCAAAAAUCAGCAGCAAACAUUGCUAGGAAAUAUAAAGCAUGUGGAAAGAGAAUGUCCCCAAAGAGAAGAGAGAGAGUCCGAAGAGCAUUAUAUAAUGUAAGUACAAAUGAACAGUCAAUCAAGAAAGUGGUGUUGGAAUUCCUCUAUUCAUUUCUAUACCAACCGGUCACAUUGGACAAUAGCCUGCUGUGGAUGGUGAAAUCGCGCAUGUUGAGCAAUCCAGCAGUUUAGCUUCUACGAAAAUUAUCAUUGACAAAUGUGUUGUGAAAGGCUAUCAUGUGUUUAAAAUUCGUCCCCCAUAUACCCCUCCUCCAACUCGAUUAAUUGUUGACCGAGAAUAUUCAAACAUAAAAGACAGCAAUGCUUGUUUGGUGUGGCUUCCACCAUUGAAUAAUUUCCCCCCAAAUAUUCAUAAUGACAUUACAGAUGAAAAACGUCAGCUGAAAGUUAGUGACAUAGCUGGGCUACCUAUUGGACAUGUACCAAAAUGCCUAUCUGCACAUUUUCGUAACAUUUUGGAUAAUGGCGGCGAAAUAUUUGCCGAGGUGACAGGACAGCCAGUAGUAAGUUUUCCUCCAUGGCCCGAGCCAAAUGAGGAAGGGGGCGGUGUUGUGCUUCCCUGCAAAUACAUACUUGAAAAUGUGAAUGCUUCAACUUUAUUUGAUAAAUUGAAGACAAUUUUGUCUCAAUUAAAAGAGGGGGAUGCGAUGAAAUUGUAUACUUUAUAGAUGAUAAACAGCCUCUGAACUUGA